rnacentral:lncRNA from 1 species
AACAAUAUUAUCUUGAACGAAUCACCCUAUCUCUCCUCUUCGAAUAAGGAUUCAAUUCAAUUCAUACAAUGUCUAACAAUUAUAAGUGGAAAUGCGGAAGCGCGAAGAUCACUAAGGACUUUUCUGGUUGUAGCUUGGUUAGGUUUACAAACAAGGGUCAUUUCUAAGGCUCUUGAAAACGAACUUGCCGAUGCAAAAGAGACAUUCAC